rnacentral:rRNA from 1 species
UACAGAGGGUGCAAGCGUUGUUCGGAAUUAUUGGGCGUAAAGCGCACGUAGGCGGCUUAGCAAGUCGGAAGUGAAAUCCCUCGGCUCAACCAAGGAAGUGCUUUCGAAACUGCUGAGCUUGAGUACGAAAGAGGAUCGCGGAAUUCCCGGUGUAGAGGUGAAAUUCGUAGAUAUCGUCAAGAACACCUAUAGCGAAGGCAGCUUACUAAGCUGUAACUGACGCUGAGGCACGAAAGUGUGGGGAUCAAACAGG